rnacentral:rRNA from 1 species
AGGGUUUGAUCAUGGCUCAGAACGAACGCUGGUGGCGUGCUUAACACAUGCAAGUCGAACGAGAAAGUUUCCUUCGGGAAAUUAGUAAAGUGGCGCAAGGGUGAGUAUCACGUGAAUAAUCUGCCCUCGAGAUCGGGAUAACAUGGUGAAAACUAUGCUAAUACCGGAUAAGACCACAUUUCAUAAGAAAUGCGGUAAAAGGAGUCUCAAUCUUCACUCGAGGAUGAGUUCGCGCAACAUUAGCUUGUUGGUGAGAUAAAAGCUCACCAAGGCUACGAUGUUUAGCCGGCCUGAGAGGGUGAUCGGCCACACUGGAACUGAGACACGGUCCAGACUCCUACGGGAGGCAGCAGUGGGGAAUAUUGCGCAAUGGGCGAAAGCCUGACGCAGCAACGCCGUGUGAGCGAUGAAGGCUUUAGGGUCGUAAAGCUCUGUCAAAUGGGAAGAAUUUUGACGGUACCAUUAGAGGAAGCCCCGGCUAACUCCGUGCCAGCAGCCGCGGUAAUACGGAGGGGGCGAGCGUUGUUCGGAAUUAUUGGGCGUAAAGCGUAUGUAGGCGGUUAAACAAGUCAGGCGUGCAAGCCCGUGGCUCAACCACGGAAUUGCGUUUGAAACUGUUUAACUUGAGUACAGGAGAGGAAAGCGGAAUUCCCAGUGUA